rnacentral:rRNA from 1 species
UACGAAGGGUGCAAACGUUGCUCGGAAUUAUUGGGCGUAAAGCGCACGUAGGCGGCUUAGCAAGUCGGCUGUGAAAUCCCUCGGCUCAACCAAGGAAGUGCAUCCGAAACUGCUGAGCUUGAGUACGAAAGAGGAUCGCGGAAUUCCCGGUGUAGAGGUGAAAUUCGUAGAUAUCGGGAGGAACACCGGUGGCGAAGGCGGCCAACUGGACGAAUACUGACACUGAGGCACGAAAGCAUGGGGAGCAAACAGG